GCCAUGUCACAUUAAAACACCGGUUCUCAUAAGAUCACCAAAGUUAAGCAAUGCCAAGCUUGCUCAGUACCUAGAUGAGUGACCAUUUGAGAAUACCAGGCAUUGUAAG